UACGGAGGGGGCUAGCGUUGUUCGGAAUUACUGGGCGUAAAGGGCGCGUAGGCGGCUUCGCCAGUCAGGCGUGAAAGCCCCGGGCUUAACCUGGGAAUUGCGCUUGAUACUGCGGAGCUGGAGUUCGGGAGAGGAGAGUGGAAUUCCCAGUGUAGAGGUGAAAUUCGUAGAUAUUGGGAAGAACACCAGUGGCGAAGGCGGCUCUCUGGACCGAUACUGACGCUGAGGCGCGAAAGCGUGGGGAGCAAACAGG
rnacentral:misc_RNA from 1 species